rnacentral:tRNA from 1 species
GGAUAAGUAGCUUAAUAGGUAAAGCAGUGAGUGCACAUAAAAACUAGGAAACAAUUGAUAUGGGUUCAAAUCCCAUCUUAUCCG